AGAGUUUGAUCCUGGCUCAGGACGAACGCUGGCGGUGUGCUUCACACAUGCAAGUCGAACGGAGUAGCAAUACUCAGUGGCGGACGGGUGAGUAACACGUGGGAAUCUACCAUUAGGUGGGGAAUAACAGGCCGAAAGGACUGCUAAUGCCGCAUAUGUAGGCAUCUCGACAGAGAUGUUUAUGAAAGGAGUAAUCCGCCUUUUGAUGAGCCCGCGUCCGAUUAGCUAGUUGGUAGGGUAAAAGCCUACCAAGGCGACGAUCGGUAGGUGGUCUGAGAGGAUGAUCACCCACAAUGGGACUGAGACACGGCCCAUACUCCUACGGGAGGCAGCAGUGGGGAAUUUUACGCAAUGGGGGAAACCCUGACGUAGCGACACCGCGUGAGCGAAGAAGCCCUUUGGGGUGUAAAGCUCUGUCAACAGGAACGAAACAAAUGACGGUACCUGUGGAGGAAGCAUCGGCUAACUACGUGCCAGCAGCCGCGGUAAGACGUAGGAUGCAAGCAUUGUCCGGAUUUAUUGGGCGUAAAGAGUUCGUAGGUGGUUUGUUAAGUCUGAUGUUGAAGACCGGAGCUCAACUUCGGAACUGCAUUGGAUACUGGCAGACUAGAGUAUGGUAGAGGCAAGCGGAAUUCCCAGUGUAGCGGUGAAAUGCGUAGA
rnacentral:rRNA from 1 species